rfam:Burkholderia sp. RPE64 DNA, chromosome 1, complete genome.
CUUCAUCGAUCUGUUGCGGGCUGAUGAAGUGGAUGUGCGAAUCCACACCGCCCGCCGUCACGAUCAUGCCUUCGCCCGCGAUCACUUCCGUGGCCGCGCCGAUGGCGAUGUUCACGUUCGGCUGAAUGUCCGGGUUGCCUGCCUUGCCGAUUGCGAAGAUGCGUCCACCCUUGAUGCCGAUGUCCGCCUUCACGAUGCCCCAGUGAUCGAGGAUCAGCGCGUUGGUCACCACAGUGUCGACCACGUCGGCGGAUGCGCGUUGCGACUGGCCCAUGCCGUCGCGAAUG